GGUGGACACCUUGAGGCCUAAAGGUUGGUGACUGGCUGUACCUGACACCCUGUGUGAUUCUAGGUUGCCCCUUGCUCCUCUCUGGGCCUUAGCCUUUCUGUCUAUGCAGUGGGGAUUUCAGAUUGCUGUUUUUUCAGAGUCUGAGAGGGCCCUUGUGUGGAGUCACCUCUGAGCUGCAGGCAGGAUUUCCAGGGCAAGAAGGCCACAGCGUCAGCAGGCACCUGUCUUUGGCCUGUGAGCCAUAGCCUAAGGCGUGCCCUUCCCGACCUUGGCCAGAUCACGCUAGAGUCCUCUGAGGCCUCCCCUCCCUUGCCCAGCCACCUUCUCCACUCUGCGGGGCUCCACUUUCACUUUCACGCUCCCAGGCUGUGGCUCUUACCCGUGCCGCGCUUUCACAUCCGCUCACAUCUGUGCUCCCAGAUGCCAGCGUGACCCCUGACAUGUGUGUGCAGCAACCUGCAGCUGCCCCAAGCCAUGGCUGAACACUGACUCCCAGCCGUGGGGCUUCACCAUUACAGACUCCCCGGGGCUUCAAAGACUUCUCAGCUUCGAGCAUGGCCUUUUGGGUGUCAGGGCAGCUGUACAAUAGUGGGUAAGUCACCGGCCUUUGGGCUCAGUUUUCUCAUCCAUCAAAUGGACAUUAAUGAUUUCUACAAUGAGAGCUCUUAACCCACGUUCUGGGGGUACUUACCCCUGAAGUUUUCUGCCAGUGUGCGCGUGUGCCCGCAGGUGCACACAUUCCCAAGCAUCUGUUCAGUUCCCGAGUAUGGGUGGGGUCUUUCCCUUUCAUUAGUUCUCAGCAGCUAUGGCUUCUUGAAGUCAAAAUCUGGGCUCUAAAUAAAUAGUUCCAGCUCCGGCAUUCCUGAUCCUUGAGUGGGAGGGGCCCACCCCAGACUUGAGAACUGCCUCCCUGUGUGGUUGUGGCACCAUGGACACUGACUUUUUCGGGGCCCCAAUCUUCUGGUGACAUAGCUGCUAUUCAGACUUUCAUCAAGAGAAAUGUUUUUCUCUUUGCACAUGAAAUCUACUGUCGAAACUCAGCAAAACCCCCUAGGAUCCCGAGGGUUGUGUGUGAGGCAGGAGAUGCUGUGUUUUUUGAGGAAUUCCUGAGCUUCCUCCAAGCAGUUUUAAAAUCCCUGGGUGGGUGAUUCUUCAGGGAGGUUCCAUGUGUCUGUGACAUCUGGUGAGUCCAGGUAUGGACAAUAUUUUAAAGUUCCGGUUUCAUUCCAGUUUAAUAGUUUCAAAAAGAUACUUAAGCGUUCAGAGCACAUUCUUGUUUGAAUGACUCAUUAGGAUUUUUUAAACUUUAGUUCAGGUAGAAGACACCCUGGGCUGGGUUCAGUGACCGCCCUGGCUUUGGGGUUUGGCUUGGUUCUGGUCCAUAAGCAGAGACUGCCUGGUUCUCCUUUAUCCCCAGAGGCAACUUUGACCCUGUUUCCUUUUCUGUAAAAUGGGGACAGUGAUGCUUCUUUUAUAGGGUUGUCGGGAAGGCCAUAUAAGAGAGUGGGGUCAAGCUGGCCUGGCACCUGCCAAAGCAGGAGCUAGAUAGACAGUGGUUACCUCUCCCUCUUCUCCUAUAAAUGACCAGCUGUGUUUUUGAUGGACCAGAAAGUUCAAGCAAGAAGACAGGGUGAGAAUUGUUACACAGCUAAGUCAAAGGGGCUUUGGGGGUUCCAUCUGGCACCUCAGCUUUCAGACUGGGGGGCCGGGGUUCAGGCCACUGCCUGAUUUCAUGUCAGCUCAUGCAUGGUGUCUGGCAUCUGGGAGCCUCCUCUUCUGAACCGUUCUUGUUUUCUUUUUGUUUCCCAGAUGUUUGAGACGGAGGCAGAUGAGAAGAGGGAGAUGCCCUUGGAGGAAGGGAAGGGGCCUGGUGCCGAGGAUUCCCCACCCAGCAAGGAGCCCUCUCCUGGCCAGGAGCUUCCUCCAGGACAAGACCUUCCACCCAACAAGGAUUCCCCUUCUGGGCAGGAACCCGCUCCCGGCCAAGAACCACUGUCCAGCAAAGACUCAGCUACCUCUGAAGGAUCCCCUCCAGGCCCAGACGCUCCGCCCAGCAAGGAUGCGCCACCAUGCCAGGAACCCCCUCCAGCCCAAGACCUCUCACCCUGCCAGGACCUGCCUGCUGGUCAAGAACCCCUGCCUCACCAGGACCCUCUACUCACCAAAGACCUCCCUGCCAUCCAGGAAUCCCCCACCCAGGACCCUCCACCCUGUCAAGAUCUGCCUCCUAGCCAGGUCUCUCUGCCGGCCAAGGCCCUUACUGAGGACACCAUGAGCUCCGGGGACCCACUAGCAGCUACCGGGGACCCACCUGCGGCCUCCAGGCCAGCCUUUGUGAUCCCCGAGGUCCGGCUGGAUAGCACCUACAGCCAGAAGGCAGGGGCAGAGCAGGGCUGCUCGGGAGAUGAGGAGGAUGCAGAAGAGGCCGAGGAGGUGGAGGAGGGGGAGGAAGGGGAGGAGGACGAGGAUGAGGACACCAGCGAUGACAACUACGGAGAGCGCAGUGAGGCCAAGCGCAGCAGCAUGAUCGAGACGGGCCAGGGGGCUGAGGGUGGCCUCUCACUGCGUGUGCAGAACUCGCUGCGGCGCCGGACACACAGCGAGGGCAGCCUGCUGCAGGAGCCCCGAGGGCCCUGCUUCGCCUCCGACACCACCUUGCACUGCUCAGACGGUGAGGGUGCCGCCUCCACCUGGGGCAUGCCUUCGCCCAGCACCCUCAAGAAAGAGCUGGGCCGCAAUGGUGGCUCCAUGCACCACCUUUCCCUCUUCUUCACAGGACACAGGAAGAUGAGCGGGGCUGACACUGUUGGGGAUGAUGACGAAGCCUCCCGGAAGAGAAAGAGCAAAAACCUAGCCAAGGACAUGAAGAACAAGCUGGGCAUCUUCAGACGGCGGAACGAGUCCCCUGGAGCCCCUCCUGCGGGCAAGGCAGACAAGAUGAUGAAGUCAUUCAAGCCCACCUCAGAGGAAGCCCUCAAGUGGGGCGAGUCCUUGGAGAAGCUGCUGGUUCACAAAUACGGGUUAGCAGUGUUCCAAGCCUUCCUUCGCACUGAGUUCAGCGAGGAGAAUCUGGAGUUCUGGUUGGCUUGUGAGGACUUCAAGAAGGUCAAGUCACAGUCCAAGAUGGCAUCCAAGGCCAAGAAGAUCUUUGCUGAAUACAUCGCAAUCCAGGCGUGCAAGGAGGUCAACCUGGACUCCUACACGCGGGAGCACACCAAGGACAACCUGCAGAGCGUCACGCGGGGCUGCUUCGACCUGGCACAGAAGCGCAUCUUUGGGCUCAUGGAAAAGGACUCGUACCCUCGCUUUCUCCGUUCUGACCUCUACCUGGACCUUAUUAACCAGAAGAAGAUGAGUCCCCCGCUUUAGGGGCCACUGGAGUCGAGCUCAGCGUUCACACCAGGCGGGCUGGGUCCCCUGCCCACCUGCCUCCCUCCCCCCUGUGACGGAGGGGGCAAGCAAGCCCCCAGAGGCUGUGUCUCUGGACAGACGGAUAGACAUACGGAAGCGAGGCCUGGACCAAGAGAGGCCCAGGCUACUGGAGGAGUAGAAGGAUGGGCCCCGUGGGGUCCCUACUGCCCCGGUACGAGGGGGCCCAAGGACCCUGGCAGGUCAGGGGCCCCGGCCAAGCCAGAUCUGGAGCUGCUGCUCCCUGCUGCGGAGACCACGGAGGCUUUGCGUUGACCAAGUUCCUUAAAGAACUGGCUGAUGGGGCAGGAGGUCCAGGCCUGGGCUCUCGGGCCCUCCUGGAGGGCCAUUGGAGCUCGCAGCUCAGACCCCCACUUUGAGUUUUAUUUAUUUAAAUAGUAGUUGGAUGCUUGGCACGUCGUCCUGUAAUAGGAAACCCUUGCCUCAUCAGUUUUCCUGAUUUACAAGUGCAAUAUUUUAGCCAAUGCCUUGUGAGAAGCUGCCAUGCAAAGGUGGACACCAUUCUCUAGCUUCAGGGGAUGUGCUCGUCUCAGGCACCGGUGGCAGGCAGCUGGCCUUCUGGACUAAGGCAGCCUGGGGGGACACUGCAGUCUGGCUACACACAGAGAUCUGGCACCCCCUGGGUGGAGUGUCCCUCGGGGGCUUUGGGAAAGCAUGGCACCCUCAGACCACACAGUAGCCGAGUUCUGGAGCAAAUAAAAGGCCUGUGUUAUUUCUUGUUCUUG
rnacentral:sRNA from 1 species